CCUACGGGUGGCUGCAGUCGAGAAUCAUUCACAAUGGGGGAAACCCUGAUGGUGCGACGCCGCGUGGGGGAAUGAAGGUCUUCGGAUUGUAAACCCCUGUCAUGUGGGAGCAAAUUAAAAAGAUAGUACCACAAGAGGAAGAGACGGCUAACUCUGUGCCAGCAGCCGCGGUAAUACGGAGGUCUCAAGCGUUGUUCGGAAUCACAGGGCGUAAAGCGUGCGUAGGCUGUUUCGUAAGUCGGGUGUGAAAGGUGCGGGCUCAACCCGCGGACGGCACAUGAUACUGCGAGACUAGAGUGAUGGAGGGGGAACCGGAAUUCCCGGUGUAGCAGUGAAAUGCGUAGAUAUCGGGAGGAACACUCGUGGCGAAGGCGGGUUCCUGGACAUUAACUGACGCUGAGGCACGAAGGCCAGGGGAGCGAAAGGGAUUAGAUACCCGUGUAGUC
rnacentral:rRNA from 1 species